rnacentral:rRNA from 1 species
CCCAGACUCCUACGGGAGGCAGCAAUGGGGGAUAUUGCACAAUGGGGGGAACCCUGAUGCAGCGACGCCGCGUGGGUGAAGGAGCGUUUCGGCGCGUAAAGCCCUAUCGGCAGGGAAGAAGGAGGACGGUACCUGACUAAGAAGCCCCGGCUAACUACGUGCCAGCAGCCGCGGUAAUACGUAGGGGGCAAGCGUUAUCCGGAUUUACUGGGUGUAAAGGGGGCGCAGACGGCAGCGCAAGCCAGGAGUGAAAGCCCGGGGCCCAACCCCGGGACUGCUCUUGGAACUGCGCGGCUGGAGUGCAGGAGGGGCAGGCGGAAUUCCUGGUGUAGCGGUGAAAUGCGUAGAUAUCAGGAGGAACACCGGUGGCGAAGGCGGCCUGCUGGACUGCGACUGACGUUGAGGCCCGAAAGCGUGGGGAGCAAACAGGAUUAGAUACCCCGGUA